AUCUUUAUAAUUUAAAUUAAAAUUAUGAUCUUGUAAAUCAUACUUAAGAAACCCUCUUUAAAGAUA
rnacentral:tRNA from 1 species